AUGAUCCACACGGUACCUCCCUCCGCCCCACAGCCCCUGCUUGUUCUGCCUGUUUCUAUUCUGACCUUUCUUCCCCCAGGUUUCUCCGUAUGUUGGUGCCGGAGGCCACAGAAGUUCCAGGAAAAUCUGUCUGGCUUCUGGCCCAGGAGCAGGCUCCAGGCAGGCGGUGGGGAAGGGCUGCUUGCCGUUAGGUUGUCGUCCUGGCGCUUGCCGGCUGGAUGCACAAGGACUGUAGGAGGGCCGCCCUGGGCUUCCACAGCCCCAGGAGACUGGAGAUGGCUCGGUCCCCUCCCCCACGUCUGUGAGUUCCAGCCUGGCUCACCUGGCCAGAGGUGCUGCAUGCAGCCAGCACGUGCCGCUCACGUGCCGUGUGCUCUCCUCCACCUACGGCAGGCUGCCUGGCUGCCAGGACUUUUGACUCGGGGACAGCAGCUCCUCACCUUCCACCCAACCUCUUCUGAGGCCCAUAGGUUGCCUCCAGAUCAGCUGAUCAGCUGACUUUGUGGUGCUUGGCUGUCUUUGGCAGCUUUUCCUGUGUACCUAAGAGUGUCCCUUUGUUUCUGGCUUACGUGAGCCGUCGCUGCCUGCUGUAUAUCUGUCCUGCUCCCUUGGGCUGUCAUCUCUGUGUCUGUGGUCAGCACCUCCCGUCUCUCUUCCCAUCAGUCUCUGUGCCCCGGUCUGUGCUCUGUCCUCUCCUGUCUCUAACUUGCUCCCUGCCCCCCUCCACUGUCUGUAUGUCCUGGAGCUGGGGUCAUGGCUGCCCUCCCCCCAGAGCCAGACCGAUUCUUGAGAAGACUGGGCUUUUUAGCUUUUUCCAGGAUGAGUCAGGAACUCCUGGAGGGAUGAGGAUCAAGGUCCCACCCAGCAGUGGCCUCAGAGAGGAUGCCGGAGGUCAGAGGAGUCUCAGGCUGGGCUGAAGACUGUGACAAGAGAUUUUCCAAAAUAUGCUCAUAUUUUGGGCCAGUGGGAGGCUGGGUGCCCUGCGGAUGUCUAAGAAGCAGAACAAGCAAGCCGCUGGCUGCCAGUGUGGAACAGGGCUGCUCUAGCUGCCAGCUGUAUGCAGAGCCUUCCAUCUCUCCUCAGUCCUCACCACACUUUCUAUGGCCUCAGGGCCUUUGCACAAACUUUUCUUUGGAGCAGUCUUUCCUCGAGGCGUUAGGAAAGCACUUCCUUCAGGAAGUCCUCCUGGAUUCACAGUGUCUGAGAUGAGGCCUCUGUCUGUGCCAAGGUACCAUCCUCUACUUGGUUUAAUGUAACCUGGAUGCAGUUCUGUCUCCCUGACUUGGGUGUCUGUUCUGGGGAGGGGUGGGUAGGAGCUUUCAUGUGCCUGCGCAGGGAAGCAGCAAGUGGCAGAGAC
rnacentral:lncRNA from 1 species